AGAGUUUGAUCCUGGCUCAGGACGAACGCUGGCGGCGUGCCUAACACAUGCAAGUCGAGCGGAGACAGUGAGUAGCUUGCUAUGAGCUGUUUUAGCGGCGGACGGGUGAGUAACGCGUGAGCAACCUUUCCCAGACAGGGGAAUAACACACCGAAAGGUGUACUAAUACCGCAUAAGACCGACGGGAUCACAUGGUUCGUAGGGGUAAAAGUAUUUAUCGGGUUUGGGGUGGGCUCGCGUCCGAUUAGGUAGUUGGUGAGGUAACCGG
rnacentral:rRNA from 1 species